AAAAAAACUUUGAAAAGAGAGUUAAAUAGUACGUGAAAUUGUUGAAAGGGAAGCACUUAUGACCAGACUUGGCCCCGGUGAAUCAUCCAGCGGUUCCCGCUGGUGCACUUUGCCGGGGUUCAGGCCAGCAUCAGUUCGCUCCGGGGGAUAAAGGCUUUGGGAAUGUGGCUCCCUCGGGAGUGUUAUAGCCCAUUGCGUAAUACCCUGUGGCGGGCUGAGGUUCGCGCUUUAUGCAAGGAUGCUGGCAUAAUGGUCAUCAGUGACCCGUCUUGAAACACGGACCAAGGAGUCGUCUUCGUAUGCGAGUGUUCGGGUGUUAAACCCCUACGCGUAAUGAAAGUGAACGCAGGUGAGAGCCCUCCAGGGCGCAUCAUCGACCGAUCCUGAUGUUCUCGGAUGGAUUUGAGUAAGAGCAUACGGGGCCGGACCCGAAAGAAGGUGAACUAUGCCUGUAUAGGGUGAAGCCAGAGGAAACUCUGGUGGAGGCUCGCAGCGGUUCUGACGUGCAAAUCGAUCGUCAAAUAUGGGCAUGGGGGCGAAAGACUAAUCGAACCUUCUAGUAGCUGGUUUCCGCCGAAGUUCCCCUCCAGGAUA
rnacentral:rRNA from 1 species